GCAGUCGAACGCUUCUUUUUCCCCGGAGCUUGCUCCACCGGAAAAAGAAGAGUGGCGAACGGGUGAGUAACACGUGGGUAACCUGCCCAUCAGAAGGGGAUAACACUUGGAAACAGGUGCUAAUACCGUAUAACAAUCAAAACCGCAUGGUUUUGAUUUGAAAGGCGCUUUCGGGUGUCGCUGAUGGAUGGACCCGCGGUGCAUUAGCUAGUUGGUGAGGUAACGGCUCACCAAGGCCACGAUGCAUAGCCGACCUGAGAGGGUGAUCGGCCACAUUGGGACUGAGACACGGCCCAAACUCCUACGGGAGGCAGCAGUAGGGAAUCUUCGGCAAUGGACGAAAGUCUGACCGAGCAACGCCGCGUGAGUGAAGAAGGUUUUCGGAUCGUAAAACUCUGUUGUUAGAGAAGAACAAGGAUGAGAGUAACUGUUCAUCCCUUGACGGUAUCUAACCAGAAAGCCACGGCUAACUACGUGCCAGCAGCCGCGGUAAUACGUAGGUGGCAAGCGUUGUCCGGAUUUAUUGGGCGUAAAGCGAGCGCAGGCGGUUUCUUAAGUCUGAUGUGAAAGCCCCCGGCUCAACCGGGGAGGGUCAUUGGAAACUGGGAGACUUGAGUGCAGAAGAGGAGAGUGGAAUUCCAUGUGUAGCGGUGAAAUGCGUAGAUAUAUGGAGGAACACCAGUGGCGAAGGCGGCUCUCUGGUCUGUAACUGACGCUGAGGCUCGAAAGCGUGGGGAGCAAACAGGAUUAGAUACCCUGGUAGUCCACGCCGUAAACGAUGAGUGCUAAGUGUUGGAGGGUUUCCGCCCUUCAGUGCUGCAGCUAACGCAUUAAGCACUCCGCCUGGGGAGUACGACCGCAAGGUUGAAACUCAAAGGAAUUGACGGGGGCCCGCACAAGCGGUGGAGCAUGUGGUUUAAUUCGAAGCAACGCGAAGAACCUUACCAGGUCUUGACAUCCUUUGACCACUCUAGAGAUAGAGCUUCCCCUUCGGGGGCAAAGUGACAGGUGGGUGCAUGGUUGUCGUC
rnacentral:rRNA from 1 species